UCAGAGCUUCCUAAGCAAAAUCUGAAACUGGCCUCCAUACACAGAGUGCAAGGCUAGAGGGGAAAGGGAGAGCACUCCAGAUUGGCAUGUGGUGUGCGGAAUAAGCAAGACAACUUAUUCCAUGCCAGAGUUGUGCCGUAAGACCAGAUCUCCAUACCUGCCCGCCAGAAUCUUAGAAGUUAAAUGGAGGCCUUAAAGGUGUCCCAGUCACACAUACCAUCCAGAUGCCUCAGCAACACAUUGCUGUCUCAAGGCUACGUCCUUGAAAAUGGAUCCCACUGCAGGAAGGGUGGACAGUACGUACAUUCCAAGGACAGGAGAGAGGAUGAAGAGCCUCCGGUUGCCCAGGACCAGCUCAGGAGUCAACUGGUGACAACAUCCUCUCCAUGAUCUCCUCCGACAUUCUUUAAUUUCAGUGUCCCUGUGUACCAACACCACCUUGAUUUUCCCAAAGAAAACCAUGCAAGAGAUACAUGAGCAACAAAUGUAUUUAAAGAUGGAAGUAUCAAAUACUCUAAGUAACCUCCUUACCUUUCAAAAAGUGUAUUGACAUGAAAAGAAAAGGAUAUCUUACUGUGUCACUAUUGUAUUUUAUAGAGAUGGAAAGGACCUACCGAAGGAAAAUCAUAACAUAAGGAAAUAAAAUGUUUAUGUGCUUUAACCCAGAAAGCACAAUUCAUCCCACACUUCAGUACUCAAAACAGGGACAUGGAUGAUGGAAAUACCUGCCAUUUUUGAAGGAAGAGUCAGAAAAAAGAGAAUAAAUGAAGCCUUAGGCUCUGGGGCUUCCACAAAAUGGCCUCCAAGUCCUGGAAAAUGAGGCAUGGGGAGUUCCAGGCAGGAAGAUCCUUGUGUUUCCUGAUGGGAGUGAGGAGGUGAGCGUGGAAGAUGUUUCUCUCAGCUCACAGUCACUCUGAUGGACUCAACACGGCAGACCUGGUGUUCUCUGCCCCUGGUUCCUGCGGUAUGCCAGCAUGUGACAGCAGCUGGGAGAGAACCCCUCAGCAACAUCCCGGCCACACUAUGGGAUGAUGCAGCUCCAAGAUGUACUUGCAGUUUCCAGGCCUCCCUGCCCCCACACCCAUCAUCCCAGGGGCGCCUUCAUCCUGAAGAAGGAAAGCCCCCUCACCUCCGAGCUGCAGGUUAAGGGGGCUGCUUGCAUCCAGUCCACUCCCAAACUCAUUUUCUCUUUAAUUAACCAGAGAAACGCAGGGUAGCCUAGUGAUUAAGAGCAGGGGCUCCCAGGUCUCUGUACUUAACAGCUGUGCCUAAGUUUUCCUUCCUAUAAAAUGUAGGUAAUUAUAAUACCUAUCUUUGAAGAUUGCUAUAGGAUUGAAGAGCCUAUGCAUGUAAAGUUUAGAACAACAUCUGGCUUACAGGAAGUGCUCAAUAAACGUUAGCUGUAAUUAUUACUAUUACUGCUCCUAUUAGCACUACCACUAGCAAUCAUAUUCCCUGGACUCAGUGUUCAGACGAAAGAAGUGAAAAGUGAUAUCAUGUCAGAAGAUAAAACACUGUGGGCUGGGCUGUGCUUUCCCAAAGUCAGUCUAUGAUUGAAAGCUUCAUUGGGUUUCCUAAAAACCAAUGCAGGAGCUCCUUGUAUAUACAGGUUCCAAUUCUCCAGCGUCAGAGGUCUGAUCUGGCAAAUAUGGACUGGAGCUCCAGAAUCCAGGUGUCCAACAAGUACCCUGGGAGUCUCUGGCAGUUUCUGAGGUGUAGGAGGGAACCCCUGUUCUGGCAGAUGAUGUCCCCUAAAGCACAGGUGCCCACAGCUUAAAAGAAGAACUUUUUAAGAUAACACAUACUUCCAUGUGAUCACUUGCUUCCUUCUCCUUCAAGUAACACCCUGAAAAGUAAAUUGAUGGAAAAUGUUUGGUGUUUUACUACAAGACUCGCAGUUCUGUUGGCUUCAGAAGAGGUUCUUUCACUCUGAUGACACGUGGGUAACAACAGUAGCUGUUAGGUGUGAAGUGUUCACAAUGUGCCAGUGCUAUCCCAGGCAGUGGUUGUUCAGACCAUCUAUCCUUUCCAGGAAAAAGUAUUAUUCUCAUUUUCCAGUUGAGAAAGCUGGAACAUCAAGUUGUUAAGCACUUGCCU